GCCAGGAUAGCUCAGUUGGUUAGAGCACAGCACUCAUAACGCUGAGGUCGUGAGUUCGAGUCUCACUCCUGGUACAA
rnacentral:tRNA from 1 species